UACAGAGGUCUCAAGCGUUGUUCGGAUUCAUUGGGCGUAAAGGGUGCGUAGGUGGCGCCGUAAGUCGGGUGUGAAAUUUCGGAGCUUAACUCCGAAACUGCAUUUGAUACUGCCUUGCUCGAGUACUGGAGAGGAGAUUGGAAUUUACGGUGUAGCAGUGAAAUGCGUAGAUAUCGUAAGGAAGACCAGUGGCGAAGGCGAAUCUCUGGACAGUUACUGACACUGAGGCACGAAGGCCAGGGGAGCAAACGGG
rnacentral:rRNA from 1 species